UACGUAGGGGGCAAGCGUUGUCCGGAUUUAUUGGGCGUAAAGAGCGUGUAGGCGGCCAAACAGGUCAGCUGUGAAAACUCGAGGCUCAACCUCGAGACGUCGGUUGAAACCGUUUGGCUAGAGUCCGGAAGAGGAGAGUGGAAUUCCCGGUGUAGCGGUGAAAUGCGCAGAUAUCGGGAAGAACACCGAUGGCGAAGGCAGGUCUCUGGGCUGACACUGACGCUCAUGCACGAAAGCGUGGGGAGCAAACAGG
rnacentral:rRNA from 1 species